ACAAUAAUAAUAAUCAGCUGUUUCAACAAGUCUUAGAAAAAUAGAAGACUGAGAUAUAGAUUUCCUGUGUGCACCAACAGAUUGAUUGAAAAUGAAGAGGCAGGCUUGGUAUAUGAAGAUGAUUCAUCCGCAAUGUGAUCUGUGUUCUGAUGAAGUGUGAGGAGAUGUGGUGGGGACCAUUAACUGUUGGAAGGAUUCCUUUUAAGGAUGCAUUAUAUCAAGAGCUAGAUAUCAGAGCCACUUGGGAGAAAUAAGAAACAGGUGUAGAAACAGGGAAUUUGGUUCUGUGGUAUUGUUGGAGGUGACGUGCUUCAGCUGCUGAAGACUAAAUUAUUUGGGAUCCAGUGACCCUGGCCUUGAAGUUCAGCUGCAGGAUGGAGCUGACAUCACCCAAGCUCAAGUCCAUUCUGCUUCUGCUUCCUCAACACAGUGAGGUGGCCACUGUUCCUACCACUUUGACAGCAGGGAAAAGAGGCAGAGAGGAUCUGGGGCUGGGGCUGGAGCUACAGCUGGAGGGAAUUCACAAGCAAGCUGCAUUUUAAGGUUGUGGUGAAGAAAGAAGAAGCCAGAAGAAGAGAGUUCCUUAAUGCUGGAGAAUACCAUCCAAACCUUGUUAUAAAGCACAUGAGUUUCUGGGGUGCCUGCAUGAUUGAGCUUACACUUUAUCAGGGGAAUUGUUGCCACCGAUUAUAGAUGUUGAAAAACUCAAUAUUUAGAGGAGAAAAUUGAUAAAAGUUUUAUUUGGUUAUAUAAAAAUAAUACUGAGAACAGUCAUUUAUGUGGUUACUUAACAGUCACUUAUGUGGUUAUUUAUGGCUUUUGCUGUGCAGAAAAAUGAAUACCAUGCAGUAUUUUAAAUUGGUGUCGAAUUAACUGUGUAAACUGCUGUUGAUUAAACUUCACAGCUAGUGACUCAUGGUUCAAAAUUUUAAAAAUUCCAGUGAACAUUAACGUGUCUCACUCCGGUGUUGUCUUAUACACUUUUGCAUGUGUACUGUUUAUUUUGUCUUCUCAGAUACACCAGAAACAAACUAAAGGUAUAUUUUAAUAAUUUUCUUCUAUACAUAUAUCCAAUAAAUAAAAUAGUAUCCAUAACAAAAAUUAACUUUAUCAUUUGCACUUUGUUUCUUUCAUACAUGAGAUUUUUAAACCCAUCUUUAAAUGUCAAAAUAGAACUUUGAAAAAUAGAAAUACUUUUUGAAUUAAAGCAUCAAAAGGGACUUCAGAUGUUAUCCAAUUCAGUCCCUCCAUUAUGGAUUGAAUUGGACUUUUAAGCCAAUUGGUUAAUUAAGCUAAAAAAUAAACAAUUUAGAGAUAUUUUUUUCAGGUCUCCUAUUUUUUUGCCAGAACGACAGAUGUGCAAUUCUCAAAGAGAUCGUUUACCAAGAGCUUUAAAUAUUACCGCAGUAAAUAUCUUUUCUUAAUGACUUAGUCUAUUCUUCUGCAAUAAAUCACUGUAUUCUGACGCUUUCAGGAAACUUUGUUUAUACACUGCUGUGGCUGUUAAGUCUUGCCUUCAAUAGUGUUAGUUUUGUGAUACAGUGAACAAAAAUGUGAACUCCUUAAGGAUAAAGGUUGCUCUUGUGCCUUCAUAAAAUAUCUGUUGACUUCUGGGAAUUCUCUAGGCUUUUAAAAUAGUAAUUAAUUUUUUAAAUUGAUGAAAGUUGUGUAUAUUUAUGGUACAUAACUUGAUGUUUUGAUUUAUAUAUACGUUGUAGAAUGGCUUAAUCAAGCUAAUUAACUUAUCUUCACCUCACAUACUUAUUAUUUUUUGGUAAGAACACUUAAAAUAUACCCUCAUAGCAAUUUUUAAGUAUGCAAUAUAUUGUUGUUAACAAUAGCCACCAGGAUGCCUGAUUGAUCUCUUGAACUUAUUCUUCCUGCCUAAUGGAAAUUUUGAAUCCUUUGACCAAUAUCUCCCCUAGUCCCUGGGAAUUUAGUCUUAUAGGCCAUAUUGUGGCAUGAGCAAGGUCACCUCAGAUAUUAGGGCUUCCAAUUUAUUGACUAGUCUCUCUUUAUGACAUCUUUAAGCUAAAAAGGCUAAGGAAAGUGAACUAUGGAGCAAUAUUUAUUUUAUCUGAAAAAUGUACACAUAUGAUAUUUUGGUAAAAUGUAUCUUCCUCUGAUAUACAUAUAUGUUAUUUUCAUAAGUCUGUAUUUUGUUCAUAUUUUAAUUCCAAGUUUUAGUUCCAUUUUAGAUAUUCUACUUUGUGUAGCCUCCAUCAUAACCCCUGCCCCCCGUAUCUGUUGACUUUGAUCAUUGACAUCCAAGUUCAGUGAUCAUCUCCUCAGCAACACCAGUUCUAAAAAAAUAAAAAUAAUAAUAAUUUUAAAAAACCUCAUCCAUAUUCCAGUCAAUCUGUGGCAUAAUUGUGUAUUUUCUUUGUUGAAGAAAAAAAUAAGGAAUUACCUUGUAACACUAACCCAAACUCACUAUUAACAC
ensembl:lncRNA LINC00457 long intergenic non-protein coding RNA 457